UAGGGAAUUUUCCGCAAUGGGCGAAAGCUGACGGAGCAAUACCGCGUGAGGGAUGAAUGCCUAUGGGUUGUAAACCUCUUUUUUCAGGGAGGCGGUACCUGAAGAAUAAGCAUCGGCUAACUCCGUGCCAGCAGCCGCGGUAAGACGGAGGAUGCAAGUGUUAUCCGGAAUCACUGGGCGUAAAGCGUCCGUAGGUGGUUUAAUAAGUCAACUGUUAAAUCUUGAGGCUUAACUUCAAAAUCGCAGUCGAAACUAUUAGACUAGAGUAUAGUAGGGGUAAAGGGAAUUUCCAGUGGAGCGGUGAAAUGCGUAGAUAUUGGAAAGAACACCGAUGGCGAAAGCACUUUACUGGGCUAUUACUGACACUCAGAGACGAAAGCUAGGGUAGCAAAUGGGAUUAGAUACCCUAGUAGUU
rnacentral:rRNA from 1 species